rnacentral:rRNA from 1 species
CGACGGGUGAGUAACGCGUAUGCAACUUGCCUAUCAGAGGGGGAUAACCCGGCGAAAGUCGGACUAAUACCGCAUGAAGCAGGGAUCCCGCAUGGGAAUAUUUGCUAAAGAUUCAUCGCUGAUAGAUAGGCAUGCGUUCCAUUAGGCAGUUGGCGGGGUAACGGCCCACCUAGUCUUCGAUGGAUAGGGGUUCUGAGAGGAAGGUCCCCCACAUUGGAACUGAGACACGGUCCAA